rnacentral:rRNA from 1 species
CCCUUCCUUGUUCUUUCCGCCUAUAUACCACCGUCGUCAGUUUACCCUAUGAAGGUCAAAUAGUAAGCACAAUCGGCACAGCCCAAAACGUCAGGUCGAGGUGUAGCGUAUGGAAGGGGAAGAAAUGGGCUACAUUCCCUGAUACCAGGGCAUACGGAUUGUAUGCUGAAACGCAUACCUGAAGGAGGAUUUAGCAGUAAGCGGGAAGUAGAGUGUCCCACUGAAGCUGGCUCUGAAGCGCGCACACACCGCCCGUCACUCUCCCCGAGCUAAGAUUUUAUUUUAACUAAAACCCUACAACUGUAAAGGGGAGGCAAGUCGUAACAUGGUAAGUGUACCGGAAGGUGCACUUGGAACAAAAACAC